CAGGAGGCAGAUUAGUUGAGUGCAGAAAGACCAAGGGGCUUAAUCUGAUAGUUGACCUCAGCCCUGCAUCCCCCAAAAAAGUCAUAUAAGUGCCUGUUCAAAUAUCGACAUCUGUCUCCCUUCAGUAUCCAAACAGCGCUUUUCAGAAGCGUUUAAACUCCUGAAAGUCUAUAAAAACCACAUAUGUGUAGACGUGAACUGAGCUGCUCCCCAUGCUUCCAGUCUCUGAGUGGCCUAUGUCCGAUGCCUUCUCUCUUCCCAACAUCUCUGUCCCAUGCAAGCUGCUGAGGAACACACGGGUGCCUUUCUUCUCCAUCUCCCAACUUUUCUUUUUUCUUUUUUUAAACAAUUGUUCUUAACUACUCAAGAAGCAAUGCAAGCCUCUUCCACCAUUUCAGGCCCUGCUUCCUAAAAUGCUCUUUGGCUCAAGGCCUUGGUUCUUAAUGUACAUUUGGCCUUGACUGGGGGAGUGGUUUCUGCUUCCCUUUUAACAGCGCUGCUGUUUUUCUGUGGAGUAUCUGCAUCAAUGUUAAAGUGUCAGGACACUUUUGGACACUUUGGAAGAGGCCCAUGGAUUUCAGUGUGUGCGGCAGGAGGUUGGUGUCACUACUCAAGCGACUGCUUUUAAAUGCCAUCUCCGUCCUAACAGAAUCUUGAAUAGUGUUGAGACGGGCAUUGAUGAAGACUUUCAAUCUGUGUACCUGGCUACAUGAAUGCGUGUUACCUGGACCCCUGUUGGUUCGUUUUUCAUAAGAUAGUAUUUUGCCCACUUUAAAAAUGUUGUUCAAGUAAAGAAUGGCAGAAAUGACAGUAAUAGGGUCCCCUCAGCCCUGCACACCCUUUUUUAAUGGAGGAAGUCGAAGCUGGUUUUUCCAACAGAUAGGAAAUCCAGAAGUAUAUUUGGGGAAAGCAGAGAACUUUUACACCUUUUGAAAAGGGACUGUCAAUGUGUUUUGCCCUUCCUGGUGAAACUAUAAAAAUGAUCCAGACAGUGGAAAAAUCGGGUGACAGAGGAAACCCUGGUGCAGACUCCCAGAUGUCUAACUGGAGGGAGGUGUGGUCUUCCUCAUUGGUUGAAGGUAGGAAAUAAUUACAAAAUAAAACAGGGCAGGGUCUGGCUGAGGACCAGAGUGCUGCUUGUAAAUCCCCUUCAAGUGAGGACUCACAGUGAAUGGGAGAAGCAAAGGUGAAUCAAAAAAGCCCACUCUUUGGAAAGGCGGCCUCUGCUCUUUCCUCUGCUAUGGGCCUUACACCCUCUGCUGAGGCCAUUGGUGGGAGACUCGAGCUAUGUGACUUUGGACCAGUAAUUUAACCUCUCUGGGCCUCACUUCUUUCAUCUGUAAAAUGGGCAUAAUGCAUACCUUACAUUCAUAGUGGGAAGUAAAUGAAAUAGGAAUCAGGGCUUCACGGCACUUCGCAUACUGAAAAGCCUCUCCAGAUAUUAGCUGCCAUCUCCACGCUCUUUUCAUUUCUUUCUUUGCCACUGAUGGCCUCUGCUACCUUUCGUUUCUUACCACCUUGCAAGAAAUAAACUAAAAGGUCCAGCAAUUCUUCUGUUCUUCCCCAUGGGGUGGAAAUAGAGCCAACUCCUUUUGACAUCUUUGCAACCGUAUUCGGAAGUGAAAGAGUCGGAAAUAGAUAGUGUCCCCCAUCUGCCCCAGCCCUCCCCAUCGGUCCCCCUCCCCAGGCUGGCAGGCGGCCCUCCAAGUGAGCAGCCUACUCAAUGACCCACCUAGAGAGGCCUUCCCGGGCUGGCUUGUAUAUGCUAAUAGGCCUGACUUGUCCUGGCUUGUUUGUAGUGAUUUGUGGAGGCAUUUAUAUGCAAAUACUAUCAACUUGCAGAGUUAAUUAUCAUGUGCCUCCCCUCUACCCCCUCCUGCUCGGCCUCCCAGCCUGGCUGGGCUGUUCUCAUUCAGCACCACGCUCUUCCUGUCUUGGCCUCGCCUGCCGGUUGCCCUGGCCUCUUCCUGUACCUGCAGGCCCCAUCACAGCUCCUGUGCUGCUCCAUUGCCUGUCACAGGAACCCAGGCCUAGCCUGUGUGGUCAGGCAUGGUGAACUGGGCAUGCCGGUGACUCCCCGGGUUCAGACUCUGUUAGAAGCAUACCGUUGCUUGAGGGGGAGCCUGCCUUAUGUUGCUUUGAGUUUUAAGCCCCAUUUUAACCUACUAGCUUGAAAAAUAGAGCUGCCCAGACAUAUCAACCCUUGACACUCAACCCAGUCUGGCGACAAAGCGAUUAUAGUUUUUAAAUUAUUAGUCGUAUUUUCAUUUCCUCACAUUGUUUAUACCCCUCACACUUAUGACCAGUUCUGAGCUCUGGAGAGAAGCCAUUUUGCAGAAGGGUGUCCUCUCCUGCCCCCGGACAUCUGAGUAUUUAAAGUGGGCUUGGGUUGUGCACGGUGGCUCACGCCUGUAAUCCCAGCACUUUGGGAGACUGAGGCAGGAUUGCCUGACCUCAGGAGUUCGAGAUCAGCUUGGGCAACGUGGUGAAACUCCAUCUCUACUAAAAAUAAAAAAAUAAAAAAA
rnacentral:lncRNA from 1 species